GACGUGUGUGAAUCUCGUACGUG
rnacentral:miRNA from 10 species